rnacentral:rRNA from 1 species
GCAGCGCGGGGCAACCUGGCGGCGAGUGGCGAACGGGUGAGUAAUAUAUCGGAACGUACCCAAGAGUGGGGGAUAACGUAGCGAAAGUUACGCUAAUACCGCAUACGAUCUAUGGAUGAAAGCAGGGGACCGCAAGGCCUUGUGCUCCUGGAGCGGCCGAUAUCUGAUUAGCUAGUUGGUGGGGUAAAGGCCCACCAAGGCAUCGAUCAGUAGCUGGUCUGAGAGGACGACCAGCCACACUGGAACUGAGACACGGUCCAGACUCCUACGGGAGGCAGCAGUGGGGAAUUUUGGACAAUGGGCGCAAGCCUGAUCCAGCAAUGCCGCGUGAGUGAAGAAGGCCUUCGGGUUGUAAAGCUCUUUUGUCAGGGAAGAAACGGUGGCGGCUAAUAUCUGCCACUAAUGACGGUACCUGAAGAAUAAGCACCGGCUAACUACGUGCCAGCAGCCGCGGUAAUACGUAGGGUGCAAGCGUUAAUCGGAAUUACUGGGCGUAAAGCGUGCGCAGGCGGUUUUGUAAGUUUGUCGUGAAAUCCCCGGGCUCAACCUGGGAAUGGCGAUGAAGACUGCAAGGCUAGAGUUUGGCAGAGGGGGGUAGAAUUCCACGUGUAGCAGUGAAAUGCGUAGAUAUGUGGAGGAACACCGAUGGCGAAGGCAGCCCCCUGGGUCAAAACUGACGCUCAUGCACGAAAGCGUGGGGAGCAAACAGGAUUAGAUACCCUGGUAGUCCACGCCCU